UACGGAGGGGGCUAGCGUUGUUCGGAAUUACUGGGCGUAAAGCGCACGUAGGCGGCUUUGUAAGUUAGAGGUGAAAGCCCGAGGCUCAACCCCGGAAUUGCCUUUAAGACUGCAUCGCUUGAACGUCGGAGAGGUGAGUGGAAUUCCGAGUGUAGAGGUGAAAUUCGUAGAUAUUCGGAAGAACACCAGUGGCGAAGGCGGCUCACUGGACGACUGUUGACGCUGAGGUGCGAAAGCGUGGGGAGCAAACAGG
rnacentral:rRNA from 1 species